CUCCAUGACGAGCGACGAUUGGAAAUUGAGCAGUGAGUGAAUCAGCUAUCAAAAUUCCUCACAUUGUUGGGUGAGCGUUGGGUAAGGCCCGGGUGCGAUUCAGUCAUUUCGUAGGGUACCACGUGGGCACAUCUGUAUGCAACAAGAGCGGGACUGGAGGGUUCGGGAGGUGGGGAGGGAGAAGUUGGCCAUGGAUCCGGAGUUGUGGAGCUGCCUCCUCCAUUUUCGGCACCUAUUGCUCACCACUUACCCCGAUAACGCCGGGAUCCGCCUCCUCCUCCUUCACCGCAGGGCCCAGUCCUUGCCGCUGAUGGGUCACCAGAAGAUGCAAUGGCAGAGGGUAUGUGGCGUAUCGGAAUUCCAUUCACAGACCGAGGAAUUGGGAGAGUUCCGCUAACCACGGCCAGCCGAGUACGCGCGGGCACAGGAUAAUUUUCUAAUUUGUUGGGUCAUUCGGCCUGAAUUGGAGAAUUGAAGUCACAGACGUUGCAUUGAAGAAGUUUAUAUUUUGCAACGUUGUGCUGCUAAGACAGGAGGGUUUGUCCCACAAGGGGUUGGAAAGCAAGAAAUUCUAGAGGUUAUCAAUUUGGGUACCAGUUGGGCUAUUAACAAAUUUCUUCUUGAGAAUGAGAUGACAGCUAUGGAUAAUGAUUGCACUGAUGAGCUUAUUUUUGCUGGUGAUGGUCAGGAUAUUGCAACUUGAGUGAAUGAACAUCACAGGGAUGAGCAAGUCUCCAAUCACAACUAUGCAGUAUCAUAUCUUUUCUCUUGUGGCAUGAGGUCUUGUACUUCUUAUAUGUGCUCAACAUUGAAGCAUUUAUUUCUUCAGGGUCACUUUGAAGGUGCAAGGGCAUUUGGCUCUUCUUCUAUGCUCUCUCGAAUUACCUUCCUGUGUGAAUAGCAUUUGCAGUUCUUUCUGCCUGCUACCUUCUCCUGAAAAUGGGGAAUUUAUAGACUACCGACCGACUGAUUUGCUGAACAUGAAGUUUCUGGCAGUGAGGAUUCAAACGUUUACUUCUAUGAUUUAACUUGGCCAAAGCACACUUGUAAAUAAGCUGCAGGCUGCCCCUUGCAAGAUUUUACUGCACAUAGAAAACCUCAAACUUUAUCUCAGCAAUGCUGAUUUACUUAUUUAUUUAUUUAUUUUGUCACAGCAGGGGCAUGGUUCUUUGAUUAUAAGAGUUGCCUGGAAUCACGGGGAGAACUUGGUGGCAUCAUCUGAUUCAGAUGUAAUAGUAAUUGUUUGGAAGUAAGCAAAGACAGCUUGACUCUUCUAUGCAGUGUCCUGAUUUGAUGGUCUGGAAGGCUUGAAAAACAUUGAUCAAUCUGCUGUAGAGCAUGAAACAUCGAUCUGCUAUGGAGAGACAUUGAUUUGUGCACAAAAAGAAGAGCAAAAAAGAUAGCUGGAGUUGAUCCGGCUGGGAAGUCUUCAAUGCUUAAGUCAGACAAGGUUUUGGAAAACAGUAGAAGCGAGAGAACAAUAGUGUAGAAUAAUCUUAGAUGCAUAUAUGAUAUCCUGAGCUUUCUUUUUAUAUAAAUGUGGAAUCCUUGUUUCAUUGGAGUUGGACUCUUUAGACUCUUGAAUUAUGUGAAAAGCUAUUUCUUGGCUUUCCUUAUCUAGAUUCGUCUACAAACUUGAGUCCAACUGAAAUUGGUCCAUUGCUAUAUCAUAUGUCAACUUGUGAUAGGUAGGCUUAAUUUUGGACAUAUUAUAAUGCCUUCCAUUUCCAUGCCCAAGCCAUUAAUUUUGCUCAACUGAGGAAGUAGCAGUGAGGUAUGAUCCACCUCAUUUUGCUUAUUUUUUAGGUCAUAGCUUAUCUAUUUAGCUCCUGAUGACUUGAGGUGGCAAUUGUGAAUUUUUAACAGAUUGUUUUGGAGUGAUUUAUUUGAAAUCCGAAAAGGCUAACAGUUUGUAUAACAAGAUAUAUGGCAUCUAUCAUAUUGGGAAUGUGAUUGGCCAUGUAGAUCUUUGGUUGCUCUGAGCCAUUGUGAUCUUCUUGUUCUGAGAGCCAUUUCUUAUAUUGAGAGCCGUUGAGGUCAGCUUCUUGACUUGAGAGUUGUUGAGGUCAGCUUCUUGAUUUGAGAGUUGUGAAGGUGUGGACUCUUAGACAUUUGCCCUAAGCUUACAUGACAGUUUUCUAAUAUGGCCAAAAUCAAUCCAUUCACAAGUUGACAUGUGGCAUUACAGAAACUAGUUUCAGUUGGACUCAUAUUUUUAGAUUGAUUUAAAUAAGAUAAGUCGAGAUAGAGUUUUUUAUGUGAUUUAAGAUUUUGAAGACUCUAACAUAAUGGGACAAGGACUCCUCAUUUAUAAAAGAGGAUUCAGGGUAUCCAAUAUGCAUAUGAUAUUGUUCCAUAUUAUUUUUCUUUCUCUUUUGUUGUUCUUUAAAGUCUUGUUUGACUUAAGCAUUGAAGGUUUCUUAGUUGGAUCAGCUUUGAUGACCUCCUUUGCUUUUCUUUUUGUAUGUAGAUCAGCAUCUUUUCAUGAUAGAUCGGUACUUCAUGCUCUAUAAUAGAUUGAUUGAUACCCUUUUUGCUUUCCAGGUUAUCAAAUCAAGUUUUGGCACCAACAGAGUUCUCGAUGAACACAACCAAAUAUAACAAUUCUCGCAGGGAUAUAGUGUCAUUUUCUUUGAUCUGCACAGAUGUGUGGUCUGCACAGAUGUGAUUGGGAAAAAUGAUAUCUUCAAUUCUUCAGCUUAAGCUUUAUGUCUAUUGAUGUAGGUAUUUUGAAAAUAAAGUACUGAAACUCUUGGUAUUUGUUGUUGUGCACAUUUUUUAUGUUGUUUUUUCUUUUAUUUUGCAUUGUUAUUGGGGCCUAUCAAGCUUUUUGCCCAUAGAUGUAGGUAUUGGAAUCGGAGUAUAGGAUACUCUCUUGGUAUUUGUUGCUAUGUCAGUUUUUUAUGC